GAAAAUAUUUUUGCCUGUAAUUCCUUCCAAUCCUAAGAAGCAUUGAAGUAACAAGUGUGAUCUUAGUACAAAAUGUUCUCUUGAAUACCAGCCACAUUGUUGGAAAUGUUCAUCUCAGAGGAAGUACAUCAUCUCACUGCUAAGACUGUGUGAUCAAGAAGCUGCAAGUCUGCAGUUGGAAAUUUUUUGCAUGGUGAAUUCUUUACAGUCACUGAAUGCAUCAGAGUGAUGAUUGAGAUCUGACCCCAAAGGCUAGAGUCCUGUCAGCUUCUGAUGCUAGCAUGAUGCCGAGACUUCCCUGGACAGACAACCCCACCAAUGUUUCCUGGAGCUCUGCUUCCCCAGAGCCCUUCCCCACUAGGAAAAGAGACAGGCUCGAAGUAUGGAUCGACGUGUCAAUGCCCAUGUUCAGCAGGGAAGAAAUUACAGAAGCCAGACCUUCAACCUUUUGCAUCCCACAAUGACCUUGGGUCCAUACUUUUAGAGGGUUAAAGAAUAGGAAAACUGUCAGGGGAGGGGAUGGUGUUCUGGUGGUGGGAAUUGUGUGAAGUUG